rnacentral:rRNA from 1 species
GAUGAACGCUAGCGGCAGGCCUAAUACAUGCAAGUCGAACGGUGUCUUCGGACAUAGUGGCGCACGGGUGCGUAACACGUAUGCAACCUACCUUACAUUGGGGGAUAGCCUUUCGAAAGGGAGAUUAAUACCGCAUAAGACGGUAGCUGGGCAUCCAGCAGCUGUUAAAGAUUUAUCGAUGUAUGCUGGGCAUGCGUCCAAUUAGCUAGUUGGUGAGGUAACGGCUCACCAAGGCAAUGAUGGGUAGGGGAACUGAGAGGUCAAUCCCCCACCCGGGCACUGAGAUACGGGCGAGACUCCUACGGGAGGCAGCAGUAGGGAAUAUUGGGCAAUGGACGCAAGUCUGACCCAGCCAUGCCGCGUGCAGGAUGAAGGCGUUAUGCGUUGUAAACUGCUUUUAUACAGGAAGAAACUACUCUUGCGAGAGGCAUUGACGGUACUGUAUGAAUAAGCACCGGCUAACUCCGUGCCAGCAGCCGCCGUAA